UUAAAAAAAAAAAAGUUUCUUUUGUUUACUGGAUAACAAUAUCGAUGAUUGAAAUUUGAAUCUUACAAGACUCAGUAUUUAAAGGCCCAACCAGAACACUGUUAUCUUGGAAAUAUUACUCGACUUCUUGCCUUUUUCUAAAAAUCAUGUUUAGGCUAUAAAUAUCUCCAAGGGUUCCUUUUGGUUGAAACUUACUCUUUGAUUAUUUUUUUAUUUACCUGGUGGAAUCACUGGUAUGUACUUUGCUUUAUGAUGUAUAGUUUUCCUUUAAUAAUAGAGGCCUAUAUUUCGUAAAUGAAGAGUACUGCAUUUCCUAAAGUAAGCUAGCAAGAAUUCAUAGUGCACAUUUAAAAAAAUUAUCUUUCAAGGAUAUUGUUUUAUGGCUUGAAUCACUAGUACCAAUACCAACUAUGUUUAUAUAAAAAUCCUAAGGUAGGAUUUUUACCAUUUGUCUUUCUGAAUUAAAGAGUUGAUUUUAGAAGAUGGUAAUCUGCAUAUACAUGUACAUAAAAUUUCAGCUCUGUAUAGUAGAAUACAAAUUUCAUGUAAGGCACUUCCAUCUCAACGUUAAGACACGUUAGUAGGAUUAGGUAGGAUUAAGAAGUGUAUUUAGUUUGAAUACAUGGUUUUUAAAUUUUUCAACCUUUUAAAACAAAGUAUAGUCAAUAAGAAAUGGGUUUUAUUCAUUAAAAAUGGGGGCCCUGUAUUGCAUGUAUAGUAACAUAUGGAUGUUAGUUGAGUAGUAAUGUAAUGGACCUUGUGUUUCUUAAAUGCUCUAUGUAAGUGUGUUGUUGGUAGUGUUGAAGACUUUGGAACUGAUACUGAUAUCCAAAAUUUGUUUCUAGUUCUGAAAGGAUCAUUUCGGAUAUUUAACGUAGGAAAUACAUGUAUAUGAGGUAGUGUCAGGUUAAAGGAAACAGUUUCACACUAAGUGAUUCUUUCAAUUUGUGAUCUUUUUAGAAGUGUUAGAGGCAGUAGUAACUUGCUCAAUGAUCAUUACUUAGUUUAUAAUGCUGAUUCUUAGAAUUGGUUAGAAUAUUUACAUGUUCAUGGACUUGGUUAGAGUAUUUAAAUAUUAAGGGUCCAUAGUCCAGCAAUGUGAACAUGAAAAUCAGAGUGUCUACAAAAUGAUACUUUAUCAGUCAUAUGGAAUUUGUAGGGGAACCAUGUCAUUCAGAAUUGUACCAGUAUGUAUUGAAGGGCCCUAUUGUUUGUUGCACCUGUUCCCAAGGCUGAGAGAGACAACAGGAGAAAAACAAAAUCCCUUUGCUUAAUUAAAGGACAGAAGUCAUGAACACCCUCCAAAUUGGUGGUUCUCACACUUAAGUGUGCAUUAGAGUCAUCUGGAGGGCUCAUUACAACAGAUUUCGAGGCUCUACCCCACAGUUUACCAUUCUACAGGUCUCAGGUGGGACUAAGUAAUGUACAUUUGUAACAAGUCCCCCAAUGUUGAUGUUGGGUUUCGGGACCCACCCCACUUGGAGAGUCUCUAAAGUAUCACUCAGAAGAAUCACAGUAACAUUUUUGGUUGGUUGAUUUUUGUUGUUGGUGGCAUAGGUCAUUGUCCUGCUGUUUAGGAUGCCUGGCCAGUCAUUGAGACCAUCUACACACUCUCAAACUUUUCCAGCUACUGCCAGUUGAGGAGUACCACACUAAAUCCACUGUCACUGUCAUGGCUAUUGAUUGCUGAAUCUUAACAUUUGAUAGGUAUUUAUCAUUUUUUGAAUGAGGUAUUUUGUGUCACAAGCCUAGUUAAUUCAAAUGAAGAGGGAAUACAGGAAAGUACAAUUUGAAAAUUUUGUAAAGGUGUUUUUCUCAACGGACUUUAAGCUACUAUACCAAUAUGAGAAAUGAAACAAUGUAAUAAUGGGUUUUUGUAUCAGUAUAUUUGAUGAUGCAUAUCCCUGACCGGUGAAAGUUCUAGAACUGUCCAGGUUUUUGCUUACCAUCUACGUAAAUAUGAAUAGACUUUCACCAUUUUGAUGGAUUAAAAUGAUGGCUUGACCUUUCUUUUGUGUGAACUGGUUUUUUGCUUCUGUAGAUUGAAGAUAAAGAUUUCAUAAAUGUAUUUUCUAAGAUCAUGAGUAUAUUUAUUAAAUGUGAUUUUCUCUUGUUUUACAGCUUCAAUUUUCAUUAGUCAUUUUAGAACAUAAUGCUGCCAAGGAGUUCAAUAUAUGGAAAUUGUUAAGUAAUUUUAUGGUAAAAAGUUACAGCCUGGGUUGUGAGACCUUACAAAGACUUAGGUGCCUAUAUGUAUGAUUCAAAGUCUAUUCAGAAUUAUGCAGUACAUUCAAACAAAUUGGUCCAUAAUGAGAGCAUGUAUAGUUGCUAUGUUGAUUAUAGUUUCUUUCAAAAAAAUUUUUUUGACUCUUAGUGCAAAGAAACAAUUACCUUGUUUGUAGCCUUGUAAAAGUCUCAGCAGGUAGUCUCUAAGACGUUGUGGUGUUGUGUCUGCUAAAAGUAUCUGUGUAGAGGAAAAGAGGACAGGGACUUCUUUCUAGUUGUAAUUCAGAUGUCACCUGGGUACCUCAGCGUCCUUCCCAAACACUGCCCUGGCAUAACACGUUCUCAGAUUUGCCAGGAAAUCCGCAGUGAUGAGGCAGUGUGACUUGGAGAGGUUACAUUAAAUGUCAUCGAGGAAGACAGCUUAUCUACCCUGUUAACUUUCUACCAACCCACACCUCCCUCAUUUUUUAAUUAAAAAGUCAGAUUCCUUGCUCUGUGGAAUCCAGGACUUAAGAGACUACAGGGUUUCUUCCCCCAGGUAGCUUAUUAGCCUGUUUUCCAACUGAGUUUUCAUGCAGUUUAAUGAGUGAAACUUUGUUUUAUCGUCUACUUCUAAAAAAUAUUAUGUGAAUAGAUUUCUUAUAAAUUUAUUUUUCCUGUUCAGUUAUUUAUUACUCAUUUUCUCCAGUAAGGAAAUAAAUUUUUUUUAACUUCUGUGGCAGUACUUGGACACUACAGCAAAUUAUAUUUCUACGGAAGUCAAUGCUUACCUUUAUUUUUAGGUACACAAAUGCAGAAAAAUAUAGUAAAAUUUGAAAAUGGAAACUGUUAGUCUAUAUGUUACUCAAAUUUCUGAUUCAGACUAUAGUUUCCCUAUAAAGUAGUAUCCCCUUAUCUGAGGAGGAAUUGUUCAAGACCCCCAAGUGAAAGCCUGAGAGCACAGAUAGUGCCAAACCCUACAUAUAUUAAGGUUUUUCCUAUUUACAUAUGUAUCUGUGACAAAGCUUAACUUGCAAAUCACAGUAAGAGAUUAACAGUAAUGACUAAUGAAAACCACAGUUAUAACAAUAUUCUAUAGUUACAGUUAUGUGAAUGUGGCCUCUCAGAAUACUGUAGUCCUGUCUGUGGUGAUGGGAGAUGAUACAGUGCCCGUGUGAUGGGGCACAGUGAGAUGAGUGCUACAGGACUUGUGAUGCAGCAUUAAACUGCUGACCUCGAGUCAGAGGAGUGUCCGUCGUCUGCUUCCAGAUGGUGGGUGCCUGAAACUGGGAAGCAAAACCACAGAUAAGGAGGGCUCCUAUACUCUCUGCACACAUGACUCCAUAUUAUCCUACGAGACAGGUAUAAGAACUUUAGUUUUGUACUUGAUUUGUUGCUACUGUUCAGAAUUACGCAUGAUAAUUAGGAAGAUUUGAGAGACCUUAUUUUUUAUUUCUUUAGGUAUAUUGAUCUUUAUCUGGAGCCAUUAAAUCUUUAAAAUAUUAGAGGUGAUCAGAAGUUUUUGGAAAAUGACAUGCUCCAAAUUUGGGGGGUAUAAGUAUAAUUAUAGACAGCAUAAGUAUUUGGAUUCUAAAUUUCUACCUUGCUAUAUAAUAUGCUUAUAUUUUAGGAAGAGUAAAUUUAGUGUAUGUCCCAGUAUUUGGGCUACAGAUAAUAGAACUGAAGCAAACUAAGGUAUAAUUUGGUUUCUAUUAUGAUUUUUUAGACCUGUGAAUGGAAGAGCUCUUCUUUUUGUUGAUUGAAAUUACAGAUCUUAUCAUUUGAGUUUUUUUGCAGUUAAGAAGACUACUUGUCACAAGCCAUUUCUAGUCCUUCUAUCCAAUAGAUCACAUAAAUGUGAUGUACAUGUGAAAUUAUACAGCAGCACUUAAAAUACUCCAUGCUGGUUUUGUCCAGUUCCUGUGCUGGCAGAUUCUUACAGUCUAGACACUGCAGGCACUGCACAGGGACCAGCCCUCUGCUCCUGUGGCACUGGUAUUCUGGACACGGGAGACCAAGCAGUCGAAAUAAUUUGUGUAGUCAUAAGGGUAGAGAACAUGACAGCUAUUUUAGAUAAGAGGACUAGAAAGGGCCUGUCUCAGGAGACAAAGGGACAACAUUCUGUUUUAGUCUGUGCUGAUAAAUGACAACAUUGUGAUGGAAUAAGUGGAUGCUAUAAAUCUACCCUUGGAGCUGUGCUGUUCAGUGUGGUGGCCAUAUGUGGACUAUUGGAUCUUUGGAACGGGACUAGUAAGAUUGAGGGUGAAAGAACACAUGGAUGAAGCUGCCUGAAUAUCGGCUUCUGGCAUGAAUGGAGUUCAGAGACUAGGAAUGCUGGUGUCAUAUUUACUUCCAGGUACAGCAGAACCCUCUGGAGACCUGUGGGAGAGCAGACCCUGUUGCCUGUGAGGCCGGAGAGUUUCAUCUCUAACAGCUGGAAUUGCGCUGGUGUGGGACUCUGAUGGAAAAUACAUCACAGACCUGAAUUCCUGUUUGCUAAUAGACAGUUUGCCUUUUGGUUUUUUAAGCCCUCUUGUAGGAGAAAUGCUUUUAAAUACAGAAGCCAGAAAACAAA